rnacentral:rRNA from 1 species
AGCAGCCGCGGUAAUUCCAGCUCCAAUAGCGUAUAUUAAAGUUGUUGCAGUUAAAAAGCUCGUAGUUGAAUUUCGGGAUUAGCAGGUCGGUCGUGCCAUCGGUAUGAACUGGUCUCGCUGAUCCCUCCCUCUUGACGAACUGUGAUGCCAUUAAUUUGGUGUCGCAGGGAAUCAGGACUGUUACUUUGAAAAAAUUAGAGUGUUUAAAGCAGGCUCACGCUUGAAUACAUUAGCAUGGAAUAAUGAAAUAGGACGUUUGAUCCUAUUUUGUUGGUUUCUAGGAUUGACGUAAUGAUUAAUAGGGAUAGUUGGGGGCAUUAGUAUUCAAUUGUCAGAGGUGAAAUUCUUGGAUUUAUUGAAGACUAACUACUGCGAAAGCAUUUGCCAAGGAUGUUUUCAUUAAUCAAGAACGAAAGUUAGGGGAUCGAAGACGAUCAGAUACCGUCGUAGUCUUAACCAUAAACUAUGCCGACUAGGGAUCGGAUGAUGUUAAUUUUUUAAUGACUCAUUCGGCGCCUUACG